rnacentral:rRNA from 1 species
CCUACGGGAGGCAGCAGUAGGGAAUAUUGCUCAAUGGGGGAAACCCUGAAGCAGCAACGCCGCGUGGAGGAUGAAGGUUUUCGGAUUGUAAACUCCUUUUGUUAGAGAAGAUAAUGACGGUAUCUAACGAAUAAGCACCGGCUAACUACGUGCCAGCAGCCGCGGUAAUACGGAGGGUGCAAGCGUUACUCGGAAUCACUGGGCGGAAAGAGCGCGUAGGCGGGAUAGCAAGUCAGAUGUGAAAUCCUAUGGCUUAACCAUAGAACUGCAUUUGAAACUGUUAUUCUAGAGUAUGGGAGAGGUAGGUGGAAUGCUUGGUGUAGGGGUAAAAUCCGUAGAGAUCAAGAGGAAUACUCAUUGCGAAGGCGACCUGCUAGAACAUAACUGACGCUGAUGCGCGAAAGCGUGGGGAGCAAACAGGAUUAGAUACCCGAGUAGUC